AAUGCGUGCUGGUAGAGGGAAGUAUCUCCUCUCGCAGGGAGCUUUCAAUAGAAAUGAAGUCAACAAGUCCAACCUUAGUCUGUGUAGUCAAUAUCUCCAAUUGCCAGAAGUGAUUGUCCAUAUUGUAAUCCUUACAACGGAAGAGGAUAAUACAGCAAGAGGUUCAUUUAAGUUUAGGAGCUCUGAGCUGGAAUGUCUAAAAGUGAAGGGCUGUCAGGCUACUAAAGGAGGAGUGACUUUAUUUGCUUACCCUAGGCACAAACAGAGCAGGUCAAAACUCCAGUGCUAAUUAGGAGUGGGGGUCAGACCUAUUCUUGUCGACUGUACUUCUAACCCAGAUGUGGGAGUUCAUUUUUGUCUUGGAAGACGUCUAGCUUAAGCCAACCCUGAGAGGAGAGUUGCAUUCCAAAAAGCCACAGCCAGCGAAAAAAUAAAGAUGAGAACAUCUCAAGUGGCGAAAAUAAAGCAAAAUGCAAAUCUAUCACUGAACAGGAGUUUAUCUACAAACUAAACUGAUUUUAAGUGAGAACAUCUGUUCAAACAAGAUAGCAAGAAGGAAGAUCAACAUCACAAAUGAAAGAAAAUUGCACUGAUGAUAGGAAUUAUAAAAAACAGUGUUAAACAGAGUGUGUUUUUGUAAUAGCACAGUUACAGGUAUAUGAAAGAAUUAAACAUUGUAUGAUGAUGAUAUAGAGAAUAGACUAAUCAGAGAAAAAAAUAAGAUCAGGCUUUAGUCUUCUCUAAUCCAGAUAAUUAUGAUGCCUACUUAUCGAAGAAAUACAAAGGAAUUAUCAAUUAUUGGAAAUGAUAGAUGAUAGAUAGAGUAAGUUAGAGAAAGUGCUGGAGUUGAAAUCAGAAAUUGCUAUUGUUCUAUCAUGAUUGACUCUUUGUAAUCCCAUUUGAGCUUUUCUCAACAAGGAUGAUGGAAGGUUUGCCGUUUCCUUUACCUUUAUUUUACAGAUUAGAAAAGAGGUACACAGGGUUAAGUCACUUGCCCAGUUAAUAAGCAUCCAAAGCCAGAUUUAAACUCAAGAAGAUGAAUUUUCCCAACUUCAGAAACAUUAUUCUUUCCACUGUACCAUCUAGAAACUGAAAGUUAGGAAUACAUUUGGCCAAAUCCCACCUCUGACAUUUUUUAGCUAUGUGACACUUAAUAGUUCUUACCACCAUUCAACUCUUUACAAAUGGUAUAUACAAGCCACCAUAUGCACCUGACAAUCAAUGAGCAAGCAUUUACGGAGUCCUUACUUAGUGAGUGCUGGAUUCACAAAGAAAAAGUAAAAAAAAAAAAACAGACCAAAAACAAUACUUUCAAGGAGCUUGAAAUCUACUGGGGAUAUACAGCAUAGAUACUGAGUAUAUAAAUAACACAUGACUACUGAUUGAAGAUGAGUUCUAAUAAGUGUGGAAUGGAAAACAAGAAAAGUAUUUGAGGGAGUUAGAACUUGAGCUUAGUUCUGAAUGGCACAUAGAAAUAAGGAAUUCCCAAACUGAUAAAAUUAUUUGCCCUUUACAUACCAUAUUUAAGAAUAUUAUAAAAGAAUAUUCCUUACUUACCUCAGGAACUUGGAUUUGGAAAUAAUUCUGAAACCUUUGAGAGUUGAGAGUUUUACUUCACAAGAACAAAUACACACACAAACAAAUACAUGCACAGAUAUACUGGUCUGGAAACCAGGAGACAGCAUCUAAUAACAAUUUUGCAUCUAAUUUAAAUGUUUAUUGUUUUAUUUAUUCUAUUCUACUAUUUGUUUCUGGACUAAGUUAUCUUUAAUGGGAGGAACUCUUGGCACCACAACUUAUUUUACUAAUGUAGAUCAACAGCUCCUCUGUAACUUAUAGGCUUGCUAUAAAUAAUCAAUUUUUAUCAGAUACAUGACUAGACUUCAUGUCUUCCUUAUGUCAAAAACCUCUCUCUUUUCCAUAACUAUACUUCUUCAUGUUGCCUUGUGCAAAACUUUUCCCUUCCCUGAGCCUCAUUUUCCUUUUCUGUUAUGAGUAUAAUAUAUUAGAUGACAUUGACUUCUCUCAGCCGUUCUUUCUUUUUUUUAUUGCCCAUAAUUGUAUUGGAAUAACAAGAUCUAUUCUAACUUUAUAAAGGGUUAUGUCAGUUUUAUAUAAUCUCUGAAAGAAUAUUACUUCAUUCAUAUAUGUAAUCAUCAACUCCAUAUAGAGUACAAUAUAAUAUAAAACAACUGACAUUUGUAUGUGAAACUCCUAUUGGGUCACUAGAGGAGAAUCAGCUUAGUAUUAUUUCUAAUGUGAGAUGAUACAAGCUUUCCCAAUAAAAUCAGGAGUGAUGCAAGUAUAUAAAUUCUCACCAAUAUUAUUUAGCAUAACAUUAGCAAUGCUGGCAAUAACAAUAAUAGAAGAAAAAUAAAUUGAAGGAAGAAGAGUGUACAAAGAAUAAAACUAUCUCUUUUUGCAGAUAAUAUGACAGUAUAUGUGGAAAAUCUAAUAGAUUCAACUAAAAAGUUAGAUGAAGCUACCAAUAACUUUAACAAAGUAGCAGGAUAUAAAAUCAAUACACAUAAACCAUCAGGUUUUUAUAUACUACUAAAAAAGUCUUGCAAAAAAGAUAGAAAGGGGUUAUUCACUUAAAAUAACCACAGAUAAAAUAAAAUACCCAGGAGUAUACCUGCCAAAGCAAACUCAGGAACUACAUGAAUAUAAUUAUAAAACACUUUUUACACAAAUAAAGGAAAAUCUAAAUAAUUUGAGAAAUAUUAUUUCUUCAUGGACAGGCAGGGUUAUUAUUAUAUGAUAUUAUUGGUAAUUAUAUCAUGAUAAGAUUUGCAUUUAAGUUAUCCUACUUAUUCAAUGCCAUCCCAAUGAAAAUGUAAAAAAAAAAUUACCUUAUUCGAGUUAGAAAAAAAUAUUCCAAAAUUCAUUUGGAAGAACAGAAGAUCAAUAAUAUAAAAAGAAUUAAUGGAAAAAUACAAAGGAAGUCUGGCAGUACCAGAUUUUAACUUAUAUUAUAAAGCUUAUAAAAACUACCUCAUAGUGGCUAAGAAAUAGAAAAGUAGAUCAGUAGAACAAAACAGAAAUAAAACAAAAUAGUAAAAUAUUAUAAUAACCUUUUAUUUUACAGAAACAUAGAUCUAGAUUUGGGGAUAGAAGUAAUCAUUAUUUAGUAAAAAAAAAAUCUUUGUGUAACUGGAAAGUAGUGUGGCAGAAACUAGAUAUUAACCAAAACCUUAAACUAUUCACUAAGAUAAGAUCAAAAUGGAUAGAUGAUCUAGACAUAAAAUGAGAUAUCACAAGCAAAUUAGAAGAUUAGGGAACAUAUUACUUAUCAGGUUUGUGGAUAAGUGAGGGAUUUUUGAGUCAAAAAGAGAAAAUAUUGUGAAAUGUGAAAUGACUACUUUUGAGAACAUUAAAUUGAAAAGAUUUUAUACAAAUAAAACAAAUGUUGCCAAGAUUCGAAGGGAAAUGGAAAACUGGAGCAUUUUCUCUCCCAAUUCUCUCCCAAUUGGUAAAUGGGCAAAAGAUAUGAACAAACAUUUUUCAAAUGAAGAAAUUAAAGUUACUUAUAGGUACAUAAAAAUGCUCUAAAUCAUGACUGAUGAGAGAAAUGCAAACUAAACAAUUCUGAAAUAUCAUCUCAUACUCAUUAGACUAAUUAAAAUGAUUAAAGGGUAAAAUGACAAAUAUUUGGAGAGGAUAUGAAAAGUGAAGACACUAGUACACUCUCGAUAGAACUGUAAACUGAUGCAACCAUUUUGGAGAGCAAAUUGGAAUUACAUCCAGAGAGUUAUAGAACUAUGCAUACCAAUGGAUCCAGCAAUAUUCCUCCUGGGUCUAUUUCCUAGGAAGAUGAGGGGAAAGGGAAAACAAUUUGUAUAUUCAAGUACAUGUAUGAUAGCUUUCAUUAUAGUGGCAAGGAGUUGGAAGUUGCUUAUCAUUUGAGGAAUAAACAAAUGAUGGUGUCUGAUUAUUAUAGAAUACUACUGUGAUAUAAAAGACAAUUAGCUGUCAGAUUUAAGCAAAAGAAACUUAGAAGGAACUAUAUAGGAUAAUGAACAGUAAAAUGAGUAAAACCCAGAGAAUAUCAUAUGUAGUUACAGAUAUAACACUAGGAGAAGAAAUUAUUCAUGUUACAUGUGAGUGAACUGAAAUGAGAAUGAACAUGAAAGAAAUAAUUCAUAUAAGUAUGUCUGUCUCCCAGAUGAUGCCUUCUGGGAUGUGGGGUGUGUUGGGAAUGGUUGGGACACUUAUGGAUAGAUUAUAUUAAUAAAUUAAUUAACUAAUUUUUUAAAGUAAGGAAUGGAAUAUGCAGAAGGAAACACAGAAAAACAGGAAAGUUUUGAAUAUUACAUGUGGGAUUUUUUUCUAGUUAUGAAGAAAAGAAAGCUAAAUUUAUAAGGGAUUUGAGAUUUCAUUUGUGUACAAUCUUUUUCUUUCUGUAUGGAAAUGCUCUUUUGAUUUUUUUUUAAAUUUGAAAAUAAAACUUAAAUCAAAGCUUACAGUUAAAUCUAGGGCCAUUGACCCAAAGAUGAUCUCUGUUCAUUACUCAAUUUGUGGGUCUACUUUCCUUUAUCAAAUAUGGAUACAUAAUUCAAUAAAAAUAUGCUUAUCAUUACUUGGAGACAAAAUCUGUUAUAAAAGUAUAUACAGUAAAUAUAAUGAUUUUUAUAGAAAAUAAUCUCCCAUAAACAAUUUCACUUGUAAAGAAAAGGUCUUGGAGGGGAGAAAUGAGAAAGAAAUAAUCAAUUUACUACAUCCUUAUAGAAGAAACAGAGUGAUAUCUCAAAAUUGUCUGCUACAUAGUCAUUCCUUUAGCAUUCCAUUGAGGUGGACAAGGCUUCAACUGCUCAUCAUUAUAUUCAGUUUGGGGUAGCAAUAUCCUUCAUUUCAAAUCACCUUGUCUCCUGGCAGGGGUGUUCUGGAUCCAGCUCCAGCUGUGAACAAAAGUUCCCUGACUUCUUCUGUUGCAGAAAGCUUUUGAUUCCCAUAAUACCUAAUGUCCUUUCUUCCAUAUUUGAAAAGAAAAAACCUCCUUCCUGAAGCUCCUUUGCUAUUAAGGGACUAUAGAUAGAACUUUAAAGUUUUCAAACCUUUUUUGUUUUUACAUACCUCUAAUUUAAGCCUCACAACAGCCUUGGUUCUGUAGGUAUUAUAGAUAUGAGUAUUUACUACAAGUUAUUAUAAUUUAAUACAUGAAGAAACUAAGGCUAUGAGAAGGACAUACCCAUUUUCACACAACUUGCAAGUAUUAGAAAAAGGAUAUAAGCUCAGGGAUUCUUUAUUCCAUGUACUAUUCUUCAUUUUGUCACAUAGCAUUAUAUCUAAUUUUUUAUGCUCAUCUUCCAUAUGAAAGAUACCAUAGACAUAUAUCCAUUUGGUUAUUUGUCCAAAAGUUCAAAACUUACAAAUGAC